CAAGUUUACCUGUUUCAAGCUUUUUGUGGCUGAGGUGACAGCUUGGUAUUAUUCCAGAAUCACACCCAAUCCUACCCAUGUCAAGUUUACCUGUUUCAAGCUUUUUAUGGCUGAGGUGACAGCUUGGUAUUAUUCCAGAAUCACACCCAAGCUUACCCAUAUCAAGUUUACCUGUUUCAAGCUUUUUGUGGCUGAGGUGACAGCUUGGUAUUAUUCCAGAAUCACACCCAAGCUUACCCAUAUCAAGUUUACCUGUUUCAAGCUUUUUGUGGCUGAGGUGACAGCUUGGUAUUAUUCCAGAAUCACACCCAAGCUUACCCAUAUCAAGUUUACCUGUUUCAAGCUUUUUGUGGCUGAGGUGACAGCUUGGUAUUAUUCCAGAAUCACACCCAAGCUUACCCAUGUCAAGUUUACCUGUUUCAAGCUUUUUGUGGCUGAGGUGACAGCUUGGUAUUAUUCCAGAAUCACACCCAAGCUUACCCAUGUCAAGUUUACCUGUUUCAAGCUUUUUGUGGCUGAGGUGACAGCUUGGUAUUAUUCCAGAAUCACACCCAAGCUUACCCAUGUCAAGUUUACCUGUUUCAAGCUUUUUGUGGCUGAG